rnacentral:rRNA from 1 species
CCUACGGGGGACUGCAGUGAGGAAUAUUGGUCAAUGGGCGGAAGCCUGAACCAGCCAAGUAGCGUGCAGGAUGACGGCCCGACGGGUUGUAAACUGCUUUUAUACGGGAAUAACGCGCCUUACGUGUAGGGCUUUGCAUGUACCGUAUGAAAAAGGACCGGCUAAUUCCGUGCCAACAGCCGCGGUAAUACGGAAGGUCCGGGCGUUAUCCGGAUUUAUUGGGGUUAAAGGGAGCGUCGGCCGCAUGUCAAGCGUGCUGGGAAAUGUCCGGGCUAAACCCGGGCCUUGCAGCGCGAACUGGCGUGCUUGCGUCCGCGUCAAGCAGGCGGAAUUCGUCGUGUAGCGGU